AACGAACGCUGGCGGCAGGCCUAACACAUGCAAGUCGAGCGGAUGAGAGGAGCUUGCUCUUCGAUUCAGCGGCGGACGGGUGAGUAAUGCCUAGGAAUCUGCCCAGUAGUGGGGGACAACGUUUCGAAAGGAACGCUAAUACCGCAUACGUCCUACGGGAGAAAGUGGGGGAUCUUCGGACCUCACGCUAUUGGAUGAGCCUAGGUCGGAUUAGCUAGUUGGUAGGGUAAAGGCCUACCAAGGCGACGAUCCGUAACUGGUCUGAGAGGAUGAUCAGUCACACUGGAACUGAGACACGGUCCAGAUUCCUACGGGAGGCAGCAGUGGGGAAUAUUGGACAAUGGGCGCAAGCCUGAUCCAGCCAUGCCGCGUGUGUGAAGAAGGCCCUCGGGUCGUAAAGCACUUUAAGUUGGGAGGAAGGGCUUACAGCGAAUACCUGUGAGUUUUGACGUUACCGACAGAAUAAGCACCGGCUAACUUCGUGCCAGCCGCCGCAGUAA
rnacentral:rRNA from 1 species